UACGUAGGGGGCAAGCGUUGUCCGGAAUUAUUGGGCGUAAAGCGCGUGUAGGCGGCCAGGUAGGUCUGCUGUGAAAACUCGAGGCUCAACCUCGAGACGUCGGCGGAAACCAUCUGGCUAGAGUCCGGAAGAGGAGAGUGGAAUUCCUGGUGUAGCGGUGAAAUGCGCAGAUAUCAGGAAGAACACCCGUGGCGAAGGCGGCUCUCUGGGACGGUACUGACGCUGAGACGCGAAAGCGUGGGGAGCGAACAGG
rnacentral:rRNA from 1 species